AGAUGUUGGCUGCAAGAUAGCCCAUGCACUCAAACCCCCCUCUAUCUGGUCCUUUAUCACCUGUUUGCCUCAAGUCUGAACAUUCAACCCUGCUCAAGGCUGAACACUUAACCCCCCCUUGGGCCAACAAGGCAGCUUGCAGACCCAGAGGCCCCAUUAGAUUUGGGCUAUAAAAACUCCCUCCUGCCAGGCCCCCCUCUCUCUUGCUCUCUCUCUCUUUCUCUCUCUCUCUCUCUCUCUCUCUCUCUCUCUCUCUCUCUCUCUUGCUCCCUCUCUCUUGCUAUCUCUCUUGCUUUCUCUCUCUCCUGCAUGCGCUUCCCCCCCCCUUCUUUCUUUUCUCUUUGUUGCACUGCUGCAAUAAAGAUCUUUUGGUUGCUUGAGUGUUGUGGUCACUUUCCUUUCAUUGGUACCGAAACCCGGGAGAGGGUUAAAACCCACUUUUGGGUCCCUCUUCCUUUGGAAGUGCCACUCACCGGAUGGCCUGAACCCAGGCCUGAACCCAUUUUCUCGACUGCCAGAACUCCAUCCACCACCAGCCUUCGAUUGUUUUUAUCUCAAACCACAGAUGCUGCUUCUACAUCCAAGCAACAUGACACCAGGAUGACACCACCCACUCUCAGUUUAUGGGUCAAGGCGAUUGCCCUUCCACUGGCUGCAAUCAGGCUGUCACCCUUAACAUUACUGGAUUCAACCAAGCCACCUCCAAUACUUCCUAGAGUCCCUGCUACAGGACCAGUGGCUGAUACCAAGAAUCUCCUCCAUCCAGGACUGGUUUGAUGCCAUCGAGGACUUGUGGCUUCAAGGAAUUUUUAUGGACUUUACCCCUACCACAGUAGUUGUCUGUAGCCACUGAGUGUUAUUUCUGGCUGCCCUGGUGUUCCCAGACCUGUCCCCUGAACAUUCCUCCACUUCCCCUUCUAGGUCUAACACCACCCACCAUUAAGCAGGAAGUAGCCAGAGGACUUUAUGCCGUCCCCCAUGUCACUUAGAAAAACAAAAAGGGAGGAAUGUUGGGUGCAGAGCAGGCUGAACUGUGUUGUCUGCAGGGCAGGCUGAACAGAUGUUGGCUGCAAGAUAGCCCACGCACUCAAACCCCCCUCUAUCUGGUCCUUUAUCACCUGAUUGCCUCAAGUCUGAACAUUCAACCCUGCUCAAGGCUGAACACUUAACCCCCCCUUGGGCCAACAAGGCAGCUUGCAGACCCAGAGGCCCCAUUAGAUUUGGGCUAUAAAAACUCCCUCCUGCCAGGCCCCCCUCUCUCUUGCUCUCUCUCUCUCUUGCUCCCUCUCUCUUGCUAUCUCUCUUGCUUUCUCUGUCUCUCUCCUGCGUGUGCUUCCUCUCUCUCUCUCUCUCUCUCCUUCUUUCUUUUCUCUUUGUUGCACUGCUGCAAUAAAGAUCUUUUGGUUGCUUGA